rnacentral:rRNA from 1 species
UUUAAUUUGAGAGUUUGAUCCUGGCUCAGGAUGAACGCUGGCGGCGUGCCUAACACAUGCAAGUCGAACGAAGCAUUUCAGAUGAAGUUUUCGGAUGGAUUCUGAGAUGACUGAGUGGCGGACGGGUGAGUAACACGUGGAUAACCUGCCUCACACUGGGGGACAACAGUUAGAAAUGACUGCUAAUACCGCA